GUUCGUACCGUAAGGCGUUCUGUUAAGUCAGAUACGAACGAGACCCUCGCCCUUAAUUGCCAACCCAUUCUCCGGAGUGGGCGCACAUUAAGGGGACCGCUGGCGCUAAGUCAGAGGAAGAGAGGUCAACGGUAGGUCAGUAUGCCCCGAAUCUCCCGGGCUACACGCGCGCUACAAAGGAUAGGACAAUGGGAUGCAAUACCGAGAGGUAACGCGAACCCCGAAACCUAUUCGUAGUUCGAACUGAGGGCUGUAACCUCGCCCUCACGAAGCUGGAAUCCGUAGUAAUCGCGUUUCAACAGAACGCGGUGAAUACGUCCCUGCUCCUU
rnacentral:rRNA from 1 species